rnacentral:rRNA from 1 species
CGGGUUUGGGGGAAGUAACUCAGGGAAACUUGAGCUAAUAACCGCAUAAUGCAGCGGCUCGACAUCGAGACAGUUGUUAAAGCGGGGGAGUCUCGCAAGAGACCUCGCGCCUGAAGAGGAGCCUGCGGCAGAUUAGCUAGUUGGUAAGGUAACGGCUUACCAAGGCGACGAUCUGUAACCGGCCUGAGAGGGCGGUCGGUCACACUGACACUGACAUACGGGUCAG